AAAGGUGCUGCUCUCCCCAUCCUGCCCCACCACCAUUACGAAAAUCUGUUUGCUGCAGAUGUAGGGUGUGGGGGCUGGAGAGGAGGGAGAGCGUGCACACAGCUCCUUCCUCAGAAGAAACUCUUACUCUUCAAGUCCAGAGAGACACAGAGAUGGAGAGAGAGAGAUGGAGAGACACAGGACCCAGGAGCAAACAAGGAAAACUAAAAUAUAGAAAUAUGGAGCACCAAGACAGAAAGGAGCAGAGGUCUUACAACAGGUGAAAGAAUUUUCAGGCGAGGGUCUCUCAGAACCUAUGUCCUGCAGGUGAGAACCCUGUGGAAACGCACAAUCCUCGGCUGUGGUACCCAAAGUAAUGUCCACUUGAGAGCCCGGGACUUCUUCCGGUGAGCCCACAGCCCCUCCCCAACACGGUACGCCACUCCUCCGGAGUCAACAGGGUCUCGGACUCUGCACUUCUCUCUCCGCUACGCACCCUGAACCCUUGAAAAGGAGGAGGGCAAGGUCUUCAUUUGCGCCUCGCGGACCCACGCAUCACCGCCGCGGGACUCCAGGGUAGGGUAU